ACACUAAUUAUUGAGAGGAAGCAUAAUUUUUAAGUUUGAAACACUUAAUGGUAACGAGAUUAUUUCUUUUUAGAUGUUGACUUGGUUGAAAACAUCAUUCCAAUAGAGAAAAGGAAGAAGAAAACCAAAGUUACCCCAAUGGAUACCCACUGCAAUGGUUUCCAAGGACAUCAUGAAAGACUUCCUGGAGCCUCCUGCCUGCCUCAUGUAUAGAGUAAAAUUAUGUGUAUCUUGGAGCCUAUGUAAUGGAUUUGGUUUACCUAUACGUACGUAUAUAGAUAAUAUGUAUGAUAUGUCCAAUGGCACAGAUAGUUGAAAUUACUUACCUAACUCAGAUCUAGGGAUAAGAGUACUUGAGUGUAAUCAUGUAAGAUUAGACAUUUACAAGGAAAGAGUUCUUUGGAAAAUUUAGUCCAAUUUCCUAGCUCAUGUUGUUUUAUCUACAGAGUUAUCUACUUGAGAUUUGAUUUGAACACAAAACUCAAUGUAAUUUUGUGAAUAUUCUAAAAUCAACAUAGCUGGGCCUGAACUAUCAAACCUGGGUCACACAUGAGUCAAGUAUACAAAAGCAGAAAUCAUGAAGAUAUAAUUUAGGUAUGAGACAGAUAAGGUAGAAGUUACAAUUGGGUAAUUCAUGGAAAGGAAAUGUUAACAGGCUUACUCCUCACAUUUAUUCAAAUUCUGUGUCCAUAAAAAUUGCCAUAUUUCAUGUUUUACAAAAUUUUCAAUCGCUCCUUUGGCAAGAAAGCCCAGAGAAAUCGUACACUGCCAUUUAUUAAACCUAUAAAAGGUGAUAUAUGUUGCCUAAGCAUUUUCCUUAUCUAGAAAAUAAAACUCUUCCUUAUUCUUCA
rnacentral:lncRNA from 1 species